UACGUAGGGUGCGAGCGUUAAUCGGAAUUACUGGGCGUAAAGCGUGCGCAGGCGGCGCGUUAAGACAGGUGUGAAAGCCCCGAGCUUAACUUGGGAAUUGCGCUUGUGACUGGCGUGCUGGAGUGUGGCAGAGGGAGGUGGAAUUCCACGUGUAGCAGUGAAAUGCGUAGAGAUCCGGAGGAACACCAGAGGCGAAGGCGGCCUACUGGGCCAGUACUGACGCUGAGCCGCGAAAGCCAGGGGAGCGAACGGG
rnacentral:rRNA from 1 species